rnacentral:tRNA from 1 species
GCCUGGCUGGCUCGGUUGAUAGAGCUUGUGACUUUUAAUCUCAGGGGCAUGAGUUUAAGCCCCAAGUUGGGCC